AGAGUUUGAUCAUGGCUCAGGAUGAACGCUAGCGGCAGGCUUAACACAUGCAAGUCGAGGGGUAACGGGAGUGCUUGCACUCGCCGACGACCGGCGCACGGGUGCGUAACGCGUAUACAAUCUACCCUUUACUGGGGAAUAGCCCAGAGAAAUUUGGAUUAAUGCCCCAUAGUACAUAUAUAUGGCAUCAUAUUUAUGUUAAAGGCUACGGUAAAGGAUGAGUAUGCGUACCAUUAGUUAGUUGGUAAGGUAACGGCUUACCAAGACCGCGAUGGUUAGGGGCCCUGAGAGGGGGAUCCCCCACACUGGUACUGAGACACGGACCAGACUCCUACGGGAGGCAGCAGUGAGGAAUAUUGGACAAUGGGCGAGAGCCUGAUCCAGCCAUGCCGCGUGUAGGAAGACUGCCCUAUGGGUUGUAAACUACUUUUACAUGGGAAGAAUAAGGGUCACGUGUGGCCUUAUGACGGUACCAUGAGAAUAAGGACCGGCUAACUCCGUGCCAGCAGCCGCGGUAAUACGGAGGGUCCGAGCGUUAUCCGGAAUUAUUGGGUUUAAAGGGUCCGUAGGCGGGCCGUUAAGUCAGGGGUGAAAGUUUGUGGCCCAACCAUAAAAUUGCCUUUGAUACUGACGGUCUUGAGUUAUAGUGAAGUUGCCGGAAUAUGUAGUGUAGCGGUGAAAUGCAUAGAUAUUACAUAGAACACCGAUUGCGAAGGCAGGUGACUAACUAUAUACUGACGCUGAUGGACGAAAGCGUGGGGAGCGAACAGGAUUAGAUCCCCUGGUAGUCCACGCCGUAAACGAUGGAUACUAGCUGUCGGCUUUAAGUCCUGGGCGGCCAAGCGAAAGUGAUAAGUAUCCCACCUGGGGAGUACGUUCGCAAGAAUGAAACUCAAAGGAAUUGACGGGGGCCCGCACAAGCGGUGGAGCAUGUGGUUUAAUUCGAUGAUACGCGAGGAACCUUACCAGGGCUUAAAUGUAGAUUGACAGGGCUAGAGCAGCUUUAGAGAUAGAGUUUUCUUCGGACAGAUCACAAGGUGCUGCAUGGUUGUCGUCAGCUCGUGCCGUGAGGUGUCAGGUUAAGUCCUAUAACGAGCGCAACCCCUGUUGUUAGUUGCCAGCACAUAAUGGUGGGGACUCUAACAAGACUGCCGGUGCAAACCGUGAGGAAGGUGGGGAUGACGUCAAAUCAUCACGGCCCUUACGUCCUGGGCUACACACGUGCUACAAUGGCCGGUACAGCGGGCAGCCACUGCGCAAGCAGGAGCGAAUCCACAAAACCGGUCACAGUUCGGAUCGGGGUCUGCAACUCGACCCCGUGAAGCUGGAAUCGCUAGUAAUCGGAUAUCAGCCAUGAUCCGGUGAAUACGUUCCCGGGCCUUGUACACACCGCCCGUCAAGCCAUGGAAGCCGGGAGUGCCUGAAGUCCGUCACCGUAAGGAGCGGCCUAGGGCAAAAUUGGUAACUAGGGCUAAGUCGUAACAAGGUAAC
rnacentral:rRNA from 1 species